rnacentral:rRNA from 1 species
CUCCUGGAAACGGGUGGUAAUGCCGGAUGCUCCGCCCCCUCGCAUGGGGGGUCGGGAAGGCUUUUGCGGAAUGGGAUGGGGUCGCGUCCUACCAGCUUGUUGGCGGGGCGACGGCCCACCAAGGCUUCGACGGGUAGCCGGCCUGAGAGGGCGACCGGCCACAUUGGGACUGAGAUACGGCCCAGACUCCUACGGGAGGCAGCAGUGGGGAAUAUUGCACAAUGGGGGGAACCCUGAUGCAGCGACGCCGCGUGCGGGAUGGAGGCCUUCGGGUCGUGAACCGCUUUUGAUUGGGAGCAGGCGUGAGUGAGUGUACCUUUCGAAUAAGCACCGGCUAACUACGUGCCAGCAGCCGCGGUAAUACGUAGGGUGCAAGCGUUGUCCGGAAUCAUUGGGCGUAAAGGGCUCGUAGGCGGUUCGUCGCGUCCGGUGUGAAAGCCCAUCGCUUAACGGUGGGUCUGCGCCGGGUACGGGCGGGCUUGAGUGCGGCAGGGGAGGCUGGAAUUCCCGGUGUAACGGUGGAAUGUGUAGAUAUCGGGAAGAACACC